CACGUAGGCGGCUUGUGUGUGUAGCUUCACGUACGUGCAUGUUGUGCUCGAUUUCUCAUCUGGUUGGGGUCUUGGGGAUACAUGUGAGAAGAGGCGAAUGGGGACGCGGCAAUGUCGGGUGGGUCCGUGUAAGAUAGAGGGUGAUGCACCUGGAUCAAGAGAAGUGACCGAAGUGAUAAACCAUGGAGGCGACCACCCAGCCAAUGGGAUCAGUGAUUCGGAUGCUGCUAAAAAUGUUGUUAGUUA
rnacentral:lncRNA from 1 species